GCAGUCGUAGCGAGAAGUCUCUUCGGAGAUGAGUAAAGUGGCGCACGGGUGAGUAACACGUAGGUAACCUACCUCAGGGACCGGGACAACCUGCCGAGAAGGUGGGCUAAUACCGGAUAAGACCACGGGGGCUUCGGCCCCAGCGGUAGAAAGUUGGCCUCUACUUGUAAGCUAGCGCCAAGAGAUGGGCCUGCGGACCAUUAUCUUGUUGGUGGGGUAACGGCCUACCAAGGCUAAGAUGGUUAGCUGGUCUGAGAGGAUGAUCACCCACACUGGGACUGAGACACGGCCCACACUCCUACGGGAGGCAGCAGUAGGGAAUCUUGGGCAAUGGGCGAAAGCCUGACCCAGCAACGCCGCGUGGGUGAUGAAGGCCUUCGGGUCGUAAAGCCCUGUCAGAGGGAACGAAUGUUCCCGGGACGAAUAAUUCCGGGAAGUGACGGUACCCUCAGAGGAAGCACCGGCUAACUCCGUGCCAGCAGCCGCGGUAAGACGGAGGGUGCUAGCGUUGUUCGGAAUUACUGGGCGUAAAGCGCGUGUACGGCGGUUCGGCAAGUUGCGUGUGAAAGCCCCCGGCCCAACCGGGGAAGUGCACUCAAACUGCCGAGCUUGAGUUCGGAAGAGGGGGGUGGAAUUCCAGGUGUAGCGGUGAAAUGCGUAAUAUCUGGAGGAACUCUAGUGGCGAAGGCGACCCGCCUGGUCUGUCUGACUGACGCUGAGACGCGAAAGCGUGGGUAGCAAACAGGAUUAGAUACCCUGGUAGUCCACGCCGUAAACGAUGGG
rnacentral:rRNA from 1 species